rnacentral:tRNA from 1 species
GCCCCGGUGGCUCAGCGGUUGAGCACCUGUCUUCAGCGCAGGUCAUGAUCCUAGAGACCUGGGAUCGAGUCCCGCGUCGGGCU